rnacentral:lncRNA from 1 species
UUCCCUUUAUUUUUUUGAGCAGUGUAUAUAUAAAAAAUAUAUAGAUAGAUCUCUCCUAUUGUAAAAUGACUGACUGGGUAUUGAAAAUGUGCUACAUAAGUACUAUGUCUUAUUAAUAUUAUUAUGAAAAUAGUUUUUUGUAAACGAUUGAUUUAAAAUAAUUUAGCAGUCUCACUAACAAAGGUUUGGGACUUUUCAGGAAACCGAGGGAAGGAAGGGACAGACGCCUGGGAGAAGAAGGGAGAGGAGGAAGACGAGGAGGAAGGAGGGAUCACCUUCAAGGUGCAGUACUCAUCAACACCGGAGGAGAACAGGGAAAGGAUUAGGGAGCGUUUGCCGGUGUCUCCCGUUUCUCCCGUUUUCGUACCAGUACCAGGCUCUCCACAGCUCCCUCUAAUCCCGAUCACCUGUGACCUCCCUAUGACCUCUAAUGCCCCCUGUGACAUCAUCAGUGUCCCGGCCCUCUUGGCUCUGCCCGUCAGUGUAACGUCCACGGCUCCUGUCCAAUCCCAGAGCCUGACUGUCACCAGUCUUACUACUACAACAUCCUCGUCAGUUUAUAACCCGGGGAAAUGUCAGAGUUCAACGUCUUCCACCUACACCUUUACAACCUGCCGCAUCCUGCACCCCUCUGACAUCACCCAGGUCACCUCCAGUUCCCACUGUCAGUCUUCUGUCUCAGAGUACACUCCCAGCUCCAUGAGGACAGGCCCCAGCACCCCGGUGACCCCCUGCAGGCUGAGUUUGGGGGUGGACUCCUUCCCUCCUCGCCGUCCGCCCGCCCCCUGUGGCCUGGCCAAGCUGUGCUGGAGAGGGGCACUCUGCUUCCCUCUCCACCGCACGAUCCACGCCGCCCCCCUCCUCCCUCUCACCUUAAGCCCCACUCCCCCAGCGUUCCUCCCCAGAAACGACCCCCCCCCCACUCCCCGUCCCACUCGCCAACCCCUCGCCUGUGCCCUUUGAGUCCCGAGCCUCGGCAGCCAGCCAUGUGACAAUUCCUGGCGUCGCGUCAGCCGAGUCUUCUCAAGGACGUGUAUGGGCCUGGUUUUGCGCCGCACCAUGCUCCCAACCUCCCCACAGCCCCGACCCCGCCCCUCCCAUAGCUUCAGCCCAACAAGCCAGAAUCAAAUCCAAAGCAAAACCCGGACCCCAUCAAUGUAAACUUAGUCGAGAGGGCUACGCCGGCUGGAUUGGUCAAGGUUCCCCAGGGGGUGGAGCCGUUGUCAGAGUGCUGGUGCCGUCAGGACUCGGCCACCUUCCUAGCCCCCCGGCGGAGGCAGCCUAUUGGACGGCCUGCGGCGGAACCAGAGCCUCCCCGCUAUGAUUGGAGUGACACGGGGAAGCCCCUCCCACCGUCUGGGCCAGGCCCCACCUCAACCACCCACKUCCCUAGCCAUCGCCCCGCCCCUCUGGGGCAACCUGAAGGGGCAGCGCUCUGUCCGCUCUAGGCCCGCCUCCACUUCCCAUGCCCCACCCCCUUCACUCAAACCAUGAAGAAGUUAUAACACUACAGGGAGGCAGGGUUUGGAGGGGAGCCAGCACCGAACAGAAGCAUUUGGGCCCACACCCUCUCUCCUCUUUCCCCCCUCCACCCCUCCCUGCCUUGCUCCUUCUCCACAUCUCUUUUAGACUGAUAUUCGSSGAAGAAAAGGGCAACAAGUGGGGGGAAAAGUCCCUCUCCUAUUUUAUCAAUUAUUUUUAAAAGCACAAUAUUGUUAAAAAUGGAAAUGUGCAUUAAUGCCACGGUGUAUAUGCCAUUUUAAAAGCCUUAGAUUGCCUGCAAAGGGCUUUAUUAGCUGUUCCUAGCCUUGCCUGCCUUCCCCCUCCAGCCCUGGAGGUAAACGUUCUCCCUGCUCUCUUCUGCUCUGCCCCUGCUACAGUAGUUAUUCAUCUGUGAGGCUCUGGAUGCUCAAAUAGAUGGGAAGAUGACCGAGGGGAUAAGUAAGUUGAUGAGGGCUUGAGAAUGUUUGGAGGGAUUGGGAAGAAGAGGUAAAAAGGGGAAGUGGCAGAAUGUGACUUUGGUGUCAAGGAGAGGAAGAACAAGCGAUGAGGGAGAGAGACGAGAAGGACAUGAGGGGGGAUGAGAGAAGAGCACUGUAAAGAAAAAGAGAUGAGGGGGGAUGAGAGAAGAGCACUGUAAAGAGAGGGCUUGAGCCUCCAGAGCCUCAAUGUCUAGGGGCUUGUUGUUCUGUAAUUCGAAAGCUUUCGAAAGUUCAUUUUUAAAAGCAGUAGAGUAGUUUUUCAUGGGUAUAUACGCUAGCUAGACUCGCUACGCCCCUUAGCUUCUCUUAGGAACCAGGCUGGUGCCCAUGCACCUUACUACUGACAGCCCGUUGCUAGGGAACUACAAUCUAGCCUUCCCAGUGUUACUACUAAUACAAUUAUCCUUUUGCUUUGCUGUUGUCAGGGGCAACUCUCUCUGUGCAUUGUAAUAGGCUACAACCAGUCUCUGAAAUGCAUGGUAUGUCCUGAAAACGACACACUUCUUUGCCUACAGGUCCCAGCAUGCACCUGGCCCUCUGGGGGUGGGUAGGACCCAGCCGUGCAGCGUGAUUGGCUGUAAUGGUCUGACUGACAGGUCCGAGGCUGCUCCUCCUCAGGUCUCUCAUAAGGAAGAGGUUGUAAAGCUUUAAAGGAGAAGCCUGUUUGUACUGUUUGGGUGUUUUUGGUUUAAAGCCAUGUGUAUAUUUUAUUAGACACUUAGUGGGAUUGGUAGGUUUUGUUUUGGAUGCCGUUAGCCUGGUCCCAGAGCGGUUUGUGCGGUCUUGCCAUACCCCUAUUGUCAUGUUACAGCACAAACUGAUCUGGAACCAGGCUAGGAUGCAGCUGGGAUGGACUUUUCCUCAGCUUGUGGAGAUCUGAGAGGAUUGUAUUGGUAUAACCAAUAUGGUGACACUUCCACCUAGCCUAUCAGAGGGCACGGUAGAUGUAUUACCAAAUUGCUUACACCUGUCAAAUCCUGACAGACUCCCCACAAGUGCAUAGGGCUUAGAGGUCGAUUUGGGAUGGAAGGUUACAAGGUUAUUGACUGGAAACGGAGAACAUGGUAGUCGCUGGAGAGGCUUUUUAACAGCACAGGUCCAAAUAGCCCKGCUGAGGAACAGGCSCUUAUGUCAGGCCRACGGCGUGCUCAGGUCUGCGUUUAUUAGGGAAUGUUCCAGUAGAAAUAUAUGCAGAACAACUCUGCCUCUGACAUAAGGAAUCACGUCAGCUCUAUUCAAGAGUUCUAACGUUCCACAACGUUUACCUCCUCAACAUGCUCCUGGUACAAGAGGUUUGGUCCCAAACGAGGAACCAUCAGCAUCCUAGGUAGUAGUGGCUGUACUAUGUUUUGAUCCAGGUUAGCUCUGAGUCUCAUCUCAUGUAUGGUUCACUAUUACUGUGGUUAUGGUCUUUAAAGGUACUCUAUUCACUCAGCGGCCAGUAGAGGGCAACAUGGUGUUGUGUGAUAUUGAACAGCUAUGAGACUAACGGCCUCUAGUACCUUCCACUGUAAUGCUGUUUAUUUUAAAUCUGAAAGGACUUGAUGGGUAUAGCGGCAGAGCCUAAGCAUUCUGGGGAAAUUCCAGCCAGCCUAUCAGAGGUCAAGGUCAAACAAAUCCCAUAUUGUUAUUCCAUUCAGGUCUACUGGGGUGUGUAGUGGGGAGGGGCUAGACUAGAGCCUGGGUACCAGUCUGUGUUCACAUGACACAGAGUACAUGACCUCGAAUGCUAGCAAGACAGGUUCUGUAUUUCAAGCUAGCUAGUGUGUGACCCUUUGACCCGGUGCCCUUUGACCCAUACUUGACCCCUGGUGUGACUCUCAGACGUCCCUGCUACACCUCUUUCCUUACCGUCCGUCUGACCUGUCCCACUCAUGUACUGCACUUUUUAACCUGAUUUACAGAGAUCACUAGUUAGGAAAUAUUAUUAGUGACAAAUAUUGAUAUUUAGACUAGGUUAUAGCAUCAAAUACUGUAUCAUUAUCAAAGGUAAUAAGUUAUUUAGCAUUUCAUGUAGACAUUUAUUUCAGAUGUUUUGUUGUGCCUCCAUUGUGUGAUGAACCAUUGAAAAGGGAAUCCAAGCUGUCAUGUUUUUAAAACUGUAUAUCAGUGCAAACCAAAACUCAUUUUUAAAUACAGUGAAAUGCUUUGUGUUGGCUUGUGUGUUGUAUUACCUAUGUAACCACGAGGAAAGAGCAUCAGUUUUAUACUAGGGUUUCUGCUCUGGGGGAGGUAUAGGAGGAGAGGCUGUUCGUUCUAUUGAAUCUAGUUCUAUGAUUCGCACCGUUGGCUCUAUUGAAUGUAGCUGAUGGGUGAUGGGUGCAGGUUGUUAUGGGCUCUGUGUAGUUGGAAGUGUUCAUUAUUGGUUUUCGACCUGGCGCCUCUCCUCCCUGCUUCAUAAAAUACCCAAGAUGACCUUUUUGGUGCUUUUGUUUUAAUAAAGGAAAUGAGAAAUGAUUUGGUUGUCUUAUAUUUAUUGUCUUAUAACGUGUGUGUGUGUGUGUGUGUGUGUGUGUGUGUGUGUGUGAGACCAUUUGUCAGUUCAGUCUUCUAUUAGUGUUUGUAUGUAAUUUGUUUGUGAGAAGUGCAGCACUUGGGCUGUUUUGUAAAUGUUUAGGAAACUAAUUCUCGUUAAAUUAUGUCUUAUAAAGCGGUGAUAGCAGAUGGGGAUCAGAGGUCGUAGGUCACAUCACAUGGGGCAGGUCUAUACAGAGGUCGUAGGUCACGUCACACGGGGCAGAUCUAUACAGAGGUCAUAGGUCACGUUACACGGGGCAGGUCUAUACAGAGGUCAUAGGUCUCCUCACAUGGGGCAGAUCUUUACAGAGGUCGUAG